rnacentral:rRNA from 1 species
ACGACAAUCGGUGGUUUUUUCGACCCUCCUUCCCC